GCGUGAUGUGAGUAGCUUGGCGAAGGGGCGCUUCGUUUACACCGAAGAUGUCGGGAGUUCGAGUCUCUCAUCACCCACCA
rnacentral:tRNA from 2 species